AAGUCGUAACAAGGUUUCCGUAGGUGAACCUGCGGAAGGAUCAUUACUGUAACUGUCGAGGGUUGGCCUAGCCGACUCGUCACCGACAUUACCCCUGUUUUUGUGUACCUUUGUUUCCUUGACAGGCGAGCCUGUCAAUUGGACCAUUUUCAACCACUUGUAGUAGUAGUUUGUGUCAGUAAAACUAAAUAUUUACAACUUUCAACAACGGAUCUCUUGGUUCUG
rnacentral:misc_RNA from 1 species